rnacentral:rRNA from 1 species
UACAGAGGUCCCAAGCGUUGUUCGGAUUCAUUGGGCGUAAAGGGUGCGUAGGUGGCGGGGUAAGUCGGAUGUGAAAUCUCAGGGCUCAACCCUGAAACUGCAUUCGAUACUGCCUUGCUCGAGGACUGGAGAGGAGAUUGGAAUUCACGGUGUAGCAGUGAAAUGCGUAGAUAUCGUGAGGAAGACCAGUGGCGAAGGCGGAUCUCUGGACAGUUCCUGACACUGAGGCACGAAGGCCAGGGGAGCAAACGGG